UUCCCCCGCCUCUUCCCUGACAGGAGGAACAGCGGGACGCUUUUCUCCUUUGUCGGCCUUUUCCCUCCGGGAUUUUAGGAGCGCCUCCGCGUCCCCCUUCGCUUUCUCCUCGAAAAAAUUCGGAUCUAAGCGCUCCUCGGCGGAUUAGGGGAAGGCUGGGAUCCUGUCAGAAAGGCGCCUUGAACCCACGUCCAAGUGCCGAAAAGGGCAGCGCUUUAGUGUCCCCGCUGAGAGGUUCGUAAGACCCUCUUACGAACAGAGGCCGCUCAUGGCGAGUGUCUGGGUGAGAUGGGAGGUGACUUGCUCAGCUUCGUUUGCAAACUGUUUCUUGCCUUCGACGUGAAUUCACGUAUUUUGCUUUGGUUGUUGCGGAAAGAAAAUGAGUAUCAAUAAAACCUGUAUCAGUCGUAGCUGCUAGAGAUAGUCGGAAAAUACAAACCUGAUUCGUGGGAGCCAGUCUUAAUUUUGAGCCAGCCUUACCAAAGAUUUUUUUAGAAGCUGUUUCCAAGGUACAAUAGGGAGAAGAGUUGGUGAAGACCUGAUGACAAGGAAAUGUGAUUGAACAUACUAAGUUUUACCAGGCAGAGAGAAUGCUUGUAUUCGUCUGAAAGAGAGGAUACUGGCCAGUAUGAAAAAAUAUCUUCCAUGAUGACAGCUUUAUAGGAAAACUGGUUUUGGAUUCUUAUAGACAAGCUGUAUUCAAGAACUGUUUAGCUUCUGGUGAUUUAGCUCAAAGAGCUUUUGUUCUAUUUUUGGAAAACGUUUCCACAAUGUAAAUGUUCAAGUUACUGUAUUACAUUUCAUUGUGCAAUAAUAAUAUAAAAUCUAUCUUUAAAUUGAAACACUUAAAUUAAAAUGCUAUUGUUUUGUUCGAGGUUGA